rnacentral:rRNA from 1 species
AUGCACGCUGGCGGCGUGCCUCAUACAUGCCAGUCGAGCGAACAGACGAGGAGCUUGCUCCUCUGACGUUAGCGGCGGACGGGUGAGUAACACGUGGAUAACCUACCUAUAAGACUGGGAUAACUUCGGGAAACCGGAGCUAAUACCGGAUAAUAUAUUGAACCGCAUGGUUCAAUAGUCAAAGACGGUUUUGCUGUCACUUAUAGAUGGAUCCGCGCCGCAUUAGCUAGUUGGUAAGGUAACGGCUUACCAAGGCAACGAUGCGUAGCCGACCUGAGAGGGUGAUCGGCCACACUGGAACUGAGACACGGUCCAGACUCCUACGGGAGGCAGCAGUAGGGAAUCUUCCGCAAUGGGCGAAAGCCUGACGGAGCAACGCCGCGUGAGUGAUGAAGGUCUUCGGAUCGUAAAACUCUGUUAUUAGGGAAGAACAAAUGUGUAAGUAACUAUGCACGUCUUGACGGUACCUAAUCAGAAAGCCACGGCUAACUACGUG